rnacentral:tRNA from 9 species
GCCCAGGUAGCUCAGUUGGUAGAGCAGGGGACUGAAAAUCCCCGUGUCGGUGGUUCGAUUCCGCCCCUGGGCA